GACGAACGCUGGCGGCGUGCUUAACACAUGCAAGUCGAACGGAAAGGCCCUGCUUUUGUGGGGUGCUCGAGUGGCGAACGGGUGAGUAACACGUGAGUAACCUGUCCUUGACUUUGGGAUAACUUCAGGAAACUGGGGCUAAUACCGGAUAGGAGCUCCUGCUGCAUGGUGGGGGUUGGAAAGUUUCGGCGGUUGGGGAUGGGCUCGCGGCUUAUCGGCUUGUUGGUGGGGUAGUGGCUUACCAAGGCUUUGACGGCUAGCCGGCAUGAGAGGGUUACCGGCGACAAGGGGACUGAGAGACGGACCAGAAGCGUACGGGAGGCAGCAGGGGAGAGUAUUACAGAAUGGGCGGGAGCGAGAGGCAGCAACGCCGGGAGCGGGAUGACGGGCUUCGGGUUGUAAACAGCUUUCGACGGUAACAAGGCGUGAGUGACGGUAAUGGGUAAAGAAGCACCGGCUAACUACGUG
rnacentral:rRNA from 1 species